CCCAGUAAACGGCGGCCGUAACUAUAACGGUCCUAAGGUAGCGAAAUUCCUUGUCGGGUAAGUUCCGACCCGCACGAAAGGCGUAACGAUUUGGGCACUGUCUCAACAACAGACUCGGUGAAAUUGUAAUACCGGUGAAGAUGCCGGUUACCUGCGACAGGACGGAAAGACCCCAUGGAGCUUUACUGUAGCUUGACAUUGAGUCUCGGUGCUACAUGUACAGGAUAGGUGGGAGACUAUGAAGCAUGGACGUCAGUCUGUGUGGAGUCAUCCUUGGGAUACCACCCUUGUAGUACUGGGAUUCUAACCAGAGGCCAUGAAUCUGGUCUUGGGACACUGUCAGGUGGACAGUUUGACUGGGGCGGUCGCCUCCCAAAAAGUAACGGAGGCGCUCAAAGGUUCUCUCAGUACGGUCGGAAAUCGUACGAAGAGUGUAAAGGCAAAAGAGAGCUUGAUUGCAAGACAUACAGGUCGAGCAAGGACGAAAGUCGGACUUAGUGAUCCGGUGGUUCCGCAUGGAAGGGCCAUCGCUCAACGGAUAAAAGCUACCCUGGGGAUAACAGGCUGAUCUCCCCCAAGAGUCCACAUCGACGGGGAGGUUUGGCACCUCGAUGUCGGCUCAUCACAUCCUGGGGCUGUAGUAGGUCCCAAGGGUUGGGCUGUUCGCCCAUUAAAGUGGUACGCGAGCUGGGUUCAGAACGUCGUGAGACAGUUCGGUCCCUAUCCGUCGCAGGCGUAGGAAAUUUGAGGAGACCUGUCCUUAGUACGAGAGGACCGGGAUGGACGUACCGCUGGUGUACCAGUUGUUCUGCCAAGGGCAUGGCUGGGUAGCUAAGUACGGAAAGGAUAAGCGCUGAAAGCAUCUAAGCGCGAAGCCCACUUCAAGAUAAGAUUUCCCACCGCAAGGUUAAGAUCCCAGGAAGACUACCUGGUUGAUAGGUCAGAGGUGUAAGUGCAGUAAUGUAUUUAGCUUACUGAUACUAAUAGAUCGAGGACUUGACCAA
rnacentral:rRNA from 1 species